rnacentral:tRNA from 1 species
AGGUCGAUAGCUCAAUUGGCUAGAGCGCCGCGCUUUGAACGCGGAGGUUCCUGGUUCAAGUCCAGGUCGGCCUG